ensembl:lncRNA
GCCCACAUGAGAUGGCAAUGGACCACUGCCCACCCACUGAAAUAUGGCUAGGUUUAAGUGAAUCAUUUCUUUUAAGUGGGAGAAAAAAAGAGAACAACUUUCUCCAUCUGUGAACAUUCAGCAAGGAAAACAUUCAGGGUGCGUUGAGGAGAACUGCUGCUUCUUCGCCCCUCCAGUUGCCACCCCCGAAUAGGCAUGAUCAGCAAAUACUCAGCACAGCGCUCUCUCGGCGGCAGAUGCUGAUGAGCACAGGGAACUAGUUACGAGGCUGCAACGUGACCGUCGCAUCUCCCAGUGAUGGCCUCAUCAGCUACGCAGCUGUGCUUGGGCUACUGUCACUGCAUCUAGCAACCAGUUCUGAGUGACGCUCCCCCCCCACUCCCCUGCCCCCCCCC